rnacentral:misc_RNA from 1 species
UUUGCAUUACAAACCAACAAUCAUGCCAGGGUGGAGUGUGAACGAAAAGCAAUGAGUAUGACCAGAAAAACAUUCUCAUUAAACUUUUUAUGGGUGCGAACAAUCAAGAUUGUUCAAAUGUUAACAAAGCCAAUGAGCUACUUCAACACAAGCAAGUUUCUUACAAAUUGCUCACAAUACAAAACACAGCCCUGGUGUUUCUGCAUUUACAUGUAUUUUUAACAUUAUUAGGAGCUAUCUUCUUUGCAUCUUGAAUCUAGAAACUGGCUUUGAGGGCUGGGCAUUGGGUGACUGUGAUGAAGUCGCGGUUUGCUCUUGUGAAGUUGGCAUGUUGUCAAUAUGCUCCACUAUUGAACUUGUGAAAGACUGCACAUGGAUGGAAAUUGGUAAGGAUGAGCACCCAGUUCAGAAAAUAAAAUUAACAGUAAUACCUUGGAACUGUCGAAUCCUGGUCUUGAAGCCCGUACAGGUGUCUUGAGGUGGGCACAGAAAACAUUAAGCAGUUAGGAUUUCAAGACAAACCACUUAAAAUCACAUCAUGUAUCGAUCAGUAACCUGCAAUCAUGACCCCAACCAGAAGUAAGGAAUAAUACCUGUGAUGAGGUCACAGUUUGGUUUUGUGAGUUUUUCUCUAUAUUGCUCAAGUGCUCCACAAUAGAGCCUGUAAAAGCCUUUGAACUAUCAAAUCUGGAUUUUGGAGUCCACAUGGGCACCUAUGAGUGAAUAACAAAACAAGAAAAUGGGGUAAAAGGAAAGGAAAACCCAUCAAGCUCAAGCAGGAUCUAGCUGCAAUUGCAAACUGUCAAUUGGGAGCAUUGCAAAAAAAGAAGCAUCUUAAUCAGGAUAGUUUAAAAUUAUUCCUUUAUUUAUUGAUUUAUUUAUUUAUCUUCCUCUCUUAUGAAAAUGUGCUAUUUAUAUGAUACAGAUUAAAUUCAUCCACAACAUAAUUAAAUCAUAAGUGGCUCAUCUCUUAAAUAAUCUUUGCAAACAGCCUAUCACAAGAAUUUUCUUGAUACCUCAAUUCUAGAUGAAGAUGCUGCUUCAAGUUUCUCCUUCACUCCAGGAAGCAUUAAAUCCUUCUCAGCAGGAACAGACUUCUUUAUCUGAGUCAAACUUCUGCUACUUGACAUAUCAUCUUUGGGUACAGGCUGUACUGUCAAACCUGUGCAAUUUGGCUGAUCAGUAGUAUCUAAUUGAUGGUGAAACUCAUUUGAUAAUGCUUCAACAGAUAAAUUUUCCACUUUUGUUUGUUUUUGUGCUUUCCUUGUCUCCAAAUGAGUCUGAGAUGCAUAAUUAUUAAAAGUAGCUUCAGUUUGAUUAUAUUCAUGAAUGUCACUACCCCUUUUGGUUGCAUCAGUUUGCUCAUCUUCAUCACUCUCAUUAUCACUUCCAACUAUAUCGAUGCACUCAUCUUCCCCACUCUCAUUAUCACUUUCAGCUGUAUUAGUAUGCUCAUCUUCAUCACUCUCGUUAUCACCUUCAGCUGCAAGUUCUUCUUUCUCAAGUUCAUCUAACCUGGACAUUAUAUGAGCAUAUUCAUCGUCUUCAACUCUAACUUUCUUGUCAACUUUCUCUGAUUUAGAUUGUUCUUCAGUAUAACUUUUCUCCACAUAAUCUUCUCUUAUCUCCACAAGGCCUUCCGCAGCCUCAGCAGCUGUGGAACCAAAAAACGAAGCCUCAGCUCUAAGAUCCUUUAUGUUAGCCUUAAGAGAUUCAACUUGGGAAUCCAAAGCCUUCCCUCUCCUUUUCAAAAUCUCAAUAGUUUGCUUUGCUGUUCUUUCGGCGUAGUAACCUUCUCCCAGAAGAACCACGAACUCAUUUGUGUGUAUCAAUCGGCCAGGAAAGAACGCGGCUUUUCCGAACGGA